UCGUUUGAGCUCCUUCCUGGCUGAGGAUCGUGAGCUACAAUGUGAAUGGACUGAUGUCUCCAGCGAGAUCGCUGCGCACCUUCUUGGACUUGUUUGACGCAGACAUCAUCUGCCUCCAGAAACAGGCAGGAGCUCACGGCGGAUAUUGCCACAGCGUAAGGAUACGAAUCCUUCUUCUCUUGCACGCCCACCGUGAAGAAAGGCUGCCUCGGCUACUCAGGUAGGGAGUUUGCGAUUUAGAACUUUUCUUCAUCCUUGGCAUUGGAUUAGAGCGCAUUGCUGGUCAGGUGUGGCUACGUUUUGCAAGGUGGAGUGUGGCAACAAUGUAGCGUUGCCUGUGGCUGCCGAGGAAGGCUUUACGGGUCUCUUGACUAGUGCCAAAGCCGAGCCUGAUACCAGCCGAAAUGUUUCCAAGCCCGCUUUUACACAGGAAACGGGCAGCAGGAAAUUGCAGAGGCUGUCACAAAGCAGAUUGACAGGGUUUUGCUAUCAAAGGCAUGAAUCUUCUGACAAAAUGAGCUGCACAGAGGUCGCAGUGCAUGGGCAGAGCUCCAGCCUUGCGGAUGGAAUCCAGCAAUCACCUGAAUUAUGUGACAAUAACAACUGCUCAGAGGUUGCAGCUUGCCAGUCUGAUGGAUAUGUCAGAUGAAACACCGACGGAAAGCUCUCAGCAAAGCUUGGAAAAAUCGGCAGCAGGCUGGGAAAGACUCAAGAGCUUGAUGUCGCGAAAUCUUCCAUUGUGCAAGGGACAUGGUGAGCCUUGUGUCGGAGUUAAGAAGGCUGGCCCCAAUCUUGGCCGUGGUUUCUACGUCUGUGCUCGAGCAAAGGGCCCAGCUUCCAAUCCUGAAGCAAGGUGCGAUCAUUUUCAGUGGUCUUCGUCCAGGACGUGAAAGAAGUGAAAAGUCGCUUCUAUAUCUAAGCUAUUAACGUGCAUUCGAGUACACCGAUUGUUA